UCGAACGGAGUUAUUUUGGCAGAAGCCUUCGGGUGGACGCUGAUAUAACUUAGUGGCGAACGGGUGAGUAACACGUGAGCAACCUGCCCUUCAGAGGGGGACAACAGUUGGAAACGACUGCUAAUACCGCAUAAGACCACGGUGUGGCACCACACAGAGGUCAAAGGAGAAAUCCGCUGAAGGAUGGGCUCGCGUCCAAUUAGCUAGAUGGUGAGGUAACGGCCCACCAUGGCGACGAUUGGUAGCCGGACUGAGAGGUUGAUCGGCCACAUUGGGACUGAGACACGGCCCAGACUCCUACGGGAGGCAGCAGUGGGGAAUAUUGCACAAUGGAGGAAACUCUGAUGCAGCGACGCCGCGUGAGGGAAGAAGGUCUUCGGAUUGUAAACCUCUGUUGUCAGGGACGAUAAUGACGGUACCUGACGAGGAAGCCACGGCUAACUACGUGCCAGCAGCCGCGGUAAAACGUAGGUGGCAAGCGUUGUCCGGAAUUACUGGGUGUAAAGGGAGCGCAGGCGGGAGAGCAAGUUGGAAGUGAAAUCUGUGGGCUCAACUCACAAAUUGCUUUCAAAACUGUUUUUCUUGAGUGGUGUAGAGGUAGGCGGAAUUCCCGGUGUAGCGGUGGAAUGCGUAGAUAUCGGGAGGAACACCAGUGGCGAAGGCGGCCUACUGGGCACUAACUGACGCUGA
rnacentral:rRNA from 1 species